GGGGAAUAUUGCACAAUGGGGGAAACCCUGAUGCAGCGACGCCGCGUGAGUGAAGAAGUAUUUCGGUAUGUAAAGCUCUAUCAGCAGGGAAGAAAAUGACGGUACCUGACUAAGAAGCCCCGGCUAACUCC
rnacentral:rRNA from 1 species